ensembl:lncRNA
AAAAAUGCCAGGGCCGAUUUUUUGUCCCAGUCCAGCCCUGGUAGUGUGGGAUUCAACCACAAUGCAGGCGCGGUCAAUCCUUACGGUAGUCAAGAAAGUCAGAGAAGGCCAGUCAGUCAUUGUCAAGCAGUUUCAGAAACUAUUUGGGCUAAUGGGAGCUGCGUCCAACUUGAUACCUUUUGGCCUGCUGUACAUGAGAACUCUACAGUGGUGACUCAAGUCCAAGGGGUUUUCCCUGAGGGGAAAUCCGCUUCGCAUGAUCAAGGUCAUGCGGCGAUGCCUAAAUGUGGAGGAAACCUUGGUUUUUGUCUCAGGGCCUGGUGCUGGGAGCUCCUUGUCGCCACGUAAAGCUAGCAACAGAUGCGUCCCUCAACGGCUGGGGUGUGAUCAUGAGUGGCCACCCUGCCCGCGGUCUGUGGACCGGUCGCCAGCUCACUUGGCACAUCAACUGCCUGGAGAUGUUGGCUGUAUUUCGAGCUUUGAAACACUUCAUCCUGGACCUGAGAGAUCACCAUGUGCUUGUGUGCAAUGACAACACAGUGGUGGUCUCUUAUAUCAACCACCAGGGAGGCCUGCGUUCGCACCACCUUGUACGAGCUGGCGCACCAGAUCCUUGUGUGGUCCCAGGGCAAAAUCCUGUCAUUGAGAGUAGUACAUAUUCCUGGGUAUCUGAAUAUGGGAACAGACAUCCUUUCGAGGCAGGGGCCAAGGCCCGGGGAAUGGAGGCUUCACCCCAGGGUGGUGAAUCAGAUAUGGAGAAUUUUUGGCCAGGCUCCGGUGGACUUGUUUGCUACUCAGAUGACAUCGCACUGUCACCUCUGGAUCUCUCUGACUCAUCCGGCUCCACUGGGGCUGGAUGCUAUGGUACAGAUUUGGCCUUUGCUUCAUCUGUAUGUCUUUACCCUGAUCGCUCUGCUCCCAGGAGUUCUGGAGAGAGAAUGCCAAGACGGGGGCCGUCUGCUGCUAGUAGCCCCAUUCUGGCCAGGCCGAGUAUGGUUCUCGGAUCUGAUUUCCCUUCUCGAUGGCUCGCCAUGGGAGAUUCCCAUAAUAUUACACCCCUGCCCAGAGCUGUGGAUGUUAUGGGUGUGGCCCCUGAGGGGGCACAGCUUGUAGCUUCUGGUCUCUCAACCGAGGUUGUUGAAACCAUCCUCCAAACCAGAGCUCCUUCUACGAGGAAACUGUA